CAUGGAUACUUGACCCUGAUCAUCAGGUGGAGGUGGGGCUGCUGUUACUUUAGGGGUGAAGAGAACUGUAUGUUUUGCACCCAUGUAAUCCAUGGAGCAUUUCUUGGUACUCCCCUGCCAAGAGACAAGUACUGCAGCAAAAGCCUAAGAACAGCCUGGAGACCAGGGCUCGGAUCUUUUAGGAUGGAAGUUGUGAGUCAUCCCACUAUGUAAGCGAUGUAGAUCAACAGAGGUGUUUGCGGAGAGAGACAGGAAUUUAGAAAAGGUAAUAGAGGAGGGAAUGAUGUGAAUCCGUUUCAACCAUUAACACCAGCAGCCGUGUGGGGGCUGAAGUUUGUAGGUUUCUCUGAGGAAACAGACCAACCACAAUCCACAAUUUGCUGUUUGAAGAAUGUAUUAUUAUAUGAACCAAGUGGAUCUGAGGAGUUCAAGGUGUAAACUGAAGUGGCUGUGGUGCUGUGGUGUGUCACCCAGAUCCCCUUUUGGGCUGAGGAACUCAUCCCCAACUACUGGGUGUAUUGAUGGCUCUAGGCUCUCAAUUGAGCCCCUAGUUAGGUAUUUGUCUUAGCCAAAGACAGUGUCCUCACUCAUAUUUCCUCUCCUCCCCAAGGCCACCUGUAUAUAAUGACUGGUUACUGUGGAGGUAUGGCUGUCUGGCCUAUUUGCCUCAACAAAUCUGAAGGGCCAUUUCAAAUCCAAAACUUCCUCUAGGAUCAUCUGUGGCCUCCAUUACCACUUCAUGUGGUUUAAAUUCUCCCUCCGCCAAAUCAUACUGUCCUUAUCCAUGAUACUAAGGAGGGCACUCUCUACUAAACCACCUGCAUGCAUAUGUAUCAAAGUCUCAGAGGCUGAUUGUUAGGGAACCCCACCUAUGACAAAAGGGUAUGUGUGAUUUGGGGCAAAGCCUAAGCUAUUGUAUCAACGAGACCUAAGCAUUAAACAGGUUUCAUAAGAGAAUGCCAUUUCUGUCUGAUGCAACAGUCCAGAUGGUUUAGGCUCACAGGCAACUCUGCCCCACGAGGUUAUUCAAGAACCCAGGCUCCUUUUUCCUCAUUGAUCUACUUCUUCCUUGAGUGUUACCUCAUUUGAUUGAUUGAAGUUCUCCCAUUAUGUUCCCACUUAUGGGAAAAGGAAAAGAGCAUGGAGGAGAAAAUGUCCAUUGCUCUAAAGCUCACCAUUUUGGCUCACAUCGGGAUAACUUAGUUCUAGAUAUAGAGGAUAUUAGAAAAUGCAGUCUCUAAUUUACGCAUCUAGACUCAACUCUGUUAUUAUAGAAGAAGGAGAACAGAUUUUGAUGGACAACACUUUCAGCCAAGCAGAGGCGGCAAAGGUGGAAAGCAGGACUUACUUCAUGUAUAAAGACAGUGCUAAGCUAGGAUGUUGAAAUAUUCUUCUGAAAAUCAUGGGGAGCCAUUGAGUAGGGCAGGAAUUAAAUAGUGAAUCAUUUAUAAGGAGACUAUUAUUGUGAGGCCAGCCAAACAAUGAUAUGACUUUUUAUAUGGAAACGCUAUUUUGUCACAGUAUCUUCCAUAAGAGAUGUGAUCUCUAGUUUGAAAAUGGGCAAUGUUUCUGAUCCCUGCUUUCUCCUCACAAAGAGAAAAGACCUCAGGGAAAAAAUGAAUGCUGUUCCUUCCAAAAUACUAUGGAUGGGUUGUUCUCAACCUUUCCUUGAAGGAAGAAUUAUCAGAGUAGUCUCUUCCUUCCCACUCCCCAAAACUCAGGGACAGGGCCUCAGGAUGGGACUUUGUGUGUUACAAAAAGUAAAAUGCCAUCUAGUAAUAUUGACUGCAGUAAUGCGUUUUUUGCACUGUUGGAAUUUUCCAUUUGACAUUGGAAUACAUUCUUAAAUAAAUGUGGUUAUGUUAUAUAUCAUUUUAAUGGGCAUUUUUCUUGCUAUAUUUUUCUUGCUAAUGACUUAUUACUUGCUAUUUUUUUGUGUUUAUUUUAGACUAUAGUAAUGAUGUUAGAUAGCAAAUUUGAGCAAUUUUCUUAUUUGAGUUCAAAAUGGGUAGUAAAUCAGUGAAGACAACUCACAACAUCAACAAUGCAUUUAGCCCAGGAGCUGCUAACGAAUGUACAAUGCAGUGGUGGUUCAAGAAGUUUUGCAAAGGAAGUCGGGCAUGGUGUCUCACACCUGUAAUCCCAGCACUUUGGGAGGCUGAGGCAGGCGGAUCACUUGGGGCCAGGAGUUCGAGACCAGCCUGGCCAACAUGGCAAAAACCCCUCUUUAAUAAAAAUGCAAAAAUUAGCUGGGGAUGAUUUUACACACCUGCAAUCCCAGCUUCUUGGGAGGCUGAGGCAAGAGAAUCGUUUGAACCCAGGAGGUGGAGGUUGCAGUGAGCCAAGAUCUGGCCACUGCACUCAGGCCUGGGUGACAGAGCAAGACUCUUGUCUCAAAAACAAAAACAAACUAACAAAACAAAAAAAAAAGUUUUGCAAAGGAGACGAGAGCCUUGAAGAUGAGGAGCAUGGUGGCUGGCCAUCCGAAGUUGACAACGACCAUUUGAGAGCAAUCAUCAAAGCUGAUCUUACAACUACAUGAGAAGUUGCUGAAGAACUCAACGUCAGCCAUUCUACAGUCAUUCAGCAUUUGAAGCAAAUUGGAAAGGUGAAAAAGCUUGGUAAGUGGGUGCCUCGUGAACUGAGUGAAGAUUAAAAAAAUUCAUCGUUUUGCAGUGUCAUCUUCUCCUAUUCUAUGCAAAAACAAUGAACCAUUUCUUGAUUGGAUUGUGCUAUGCGACAAAAAGUGGAUUUUAUAAAACAACUAGUGAUGACCAGUUCAGCGGUUGAACCGAGAAGAAGCUUCAAAGCACUUGCCACAGCUAAACUUGCACUUUAAAAAAAAAAAAAAAAAAAA
rnacentral:lncRNA from 1 species